rnacentral:rRNA from 1 species
UACGUAGGGUGCAAGCGUUAAUCGGAAUUACUGGGCGUAAAGCGUGCGCAGGCGGUUUUGUAAGUCUGACGUGAAAUCCCCGGGCUCAAUCUGGGAAUUGCGUUGGAGACUGCAAGGCUAGAAUCUGGCAGAGGGGGGUAGAAUUCCACGUGUAGCAGUGAAAUGCGUAGAGAUGUGGAGGAACACCGAUGGCGAAGGCAGCCCCCUGGGUCAAGAUUGACGCUCAUGCACGAAAGCGUGGGGAGCAAACAGG